rnacentral:rRNA from 1 species
UAUUUAUAGAUAUUUUAAUAAUCUAAUUAUUGUAUUUACCUUUUGCAUCAUGAUCUAGUGAUUAUUUUCAAUUAUUUGUAAUUCCGAAACGGGUGGGAUACUAUUAAUUUCUUCUAUUGUGUGAAUAGAUUCAAAUUUUCUUAAGUGGUGAUAAAUAAGUCGUCCUCCGUUAUAGCUGAUUUGAAAAUUAUUAAUAUAUUAAAGGUAGCGCCUUAGAUGACGCUUUCUCUUUUGUAAGAAUGUUAUUUAUUCUAUAGGUUGGUUUAAAGGUUUCCUUCCUAUUGGUGUGUUAUAACACUAAAAUUUUAUACUUUUCUUCUAUUAUUAUUUUCAUUAUUUAAAAUUAUAUUGGCAUAAUUAUGUUAGAAUAAGUAAUAAAAAAAUCUAAAGCUUUCUCGAACUAAUUGGGUAUGUUUAUCAAAAACAUUUCUACAAUUUAAUUUUUGUAGUAUAGUCUGCUCAGUGCUUUAGUAAAUAGCCGCAGUAUUUUGACUGUGCUAAGGUAGCAUAAUUAAUUGCCUCUUAAAUAGGGGAUUGUUUGAAUGGCUUGACCUGUUUAGUAUUUAGCUUUUUUUUACGGAAAUUAGCUUGUCGGCACAGAGCCCGACAAAAUUCUACAAGACGGAAAGACCCUGAAAUCUUAAUUUAAAAAAUUUUACUUGGGGCAAGGCCAAGUAUUUUACUUGGUUUAGGAUCCUUUGGGUUUGCAGGUCUUAAGUUACUUCAGGGAUAACUGGGUUAUAAGGGGUUAGAGUCCUUAUCGAACCUCUUAUUUGCCACCUCGAUGUUGACUUGAAAUUACCUUACUGGCGCAGCAGCUAGUUAAGGAGGCCUGUUCGGCCUUUAAAUUUUCAACGAGUUGAGUUAAAACCGGCGUGAGCCAGGUUGGCUCUUAUCUGUAUUUGGUUUCUUCUAGUACGAAAGGAUUGAAGAAGUUUUUAUU